GUCUUAAACAGGUCUAUUAACUCUCUCAGUUUGACAUGAGUACUUUACGUAUUUUAAUUCACUGGGUCCCGGGAUAGUUUGUAACACUUGCGUCAACCAUUCUUAAACAGUUAACCUGGUAACAGCAGAUACAGACAACUCUUGAACUAGCUCCAGUCUUUGCUGUUAUUGGGAGAAAGUGCUGAUGAUCAAUAGCUGUGGGGAUGGGAGUUGUUUCCUUCUCUAGUUUAGCUCAGAGGAAGCAAAGCAAGAUAUCCAUUCACCUCCCAGACAUUGACCCUGGACACACACAUGUCAACAUUUCAGGGUCUCUGAUGCUUUCUGGGCCAUGUGCAUUGUGACCUCGCAAAGAGCUAGACUUUCACAGUCAGAUCAUUCUUCCCAGUACUGCAGGCAGCAUGGGCUUUAUCUCCAUUGGUUUUCCUCCAAACACAGAAGAUAUUUAUGUGACUUUGCUCACAUUAGAGGUCCACUCCUACAUUGGUUCUUGCCACACAAUAUCUCAGACCAACCAGGGCAUUUGCAUAUUGUUCCCUAGGGAGGACCUUCCCUUUUGAGUCUGAGAUAAAAGAUCAGCUGUCAUUUUGUUUUGACGUAUCAGGACUCUUCAGUUCAACUUCUCAAAAUGAGGCUCCCUGCUCAGCUCCUGGGGCUGCUGAUGCUCUGGAUCCCAGGAUCCAGUGGGGAUGUUGUGAUGACCCAGACUCCACUCUCCCUGCCUGUCGUCCCUGGAGAGCCGGCCUCCAUCUCCUGCAAGUCUAGUCAGAGCCUGCUGGAUAGUGAUGGAAAAACCUAUUUGUAUUGGUACCUGCAGAAGCCGGGCCAGUCUCCAAAGCUCCUGAUCUAUUCAGUUUCCAACCGGGACUCUGGGAUCUCAGACAGGUUCAGUGGCAGCGGGUCAGGAACAGAUUUCACCCUGAAAAUCAGCAGAGUGGAGCCUGAGGAUGUUGAAGUCUAUUACUGUGUGCAAGCUACACAUGCUCCUCCCACAGUGAUACAGCCCUGAACAUAAACCUCCCUGCAUGGUGUGGCCCAGCUGCCCAUAUGUGCAGCCUUUCUGGGGAGUAGACACAGCAGAUUCUCUGAGUCUGUCUAAGAGGAAGAUGUUGGAGAACUCAGGGGAAUAGUUGGCAGCUGAGGACACUGGACCAUGAGCGCUUCCCCUGUGCCUGAGGAACCACGUGUUAAGGCGCAUCAGCUGCACAGCCUUGGCAUGGCAGAAGCAGCAGGAGAAUGGAGGGGUUGGGGUACCCUCUGAGAAAGCAGUCAUGAGGGACUAAAAGCUGAAUGAGAACUCAUGCUAAUCCUCCUGCAUUGCAUAUAUUCAUCAACUAAAUUCAUUCAAUACAACACAUAAUGGAGGCUGAUUCACGGCAACACAAAACAAAUACUUAUUUUGCUUUAUUAGGUUCAGUAGUUGCUAGCAUGCAUGCAGCAGGAUAAUAUUUGGUGAUAUUAAGACAGUUUUCUUUCCCUCCUCCAUCUUCCCACUUCCACUCUAAGUACAUGUCCCUCUCAAUUUGGGGGCAGCAUAGGAUUUUAUACCACCGUCCUCUGUGGAAUAGUGAGAGAAACUAUUCAUAUUCUUGUUUUUGAACUGCUGGGUAGACUUCGUAAAUCUCUUCAUAAAAAAGGGCCUAGUGCCUAAAUCCUUAACAGUCUCUGUCACAGCAUGUGGAAACCAAAAGAGAGUUUUCUGAAUUCCAAAGCUGGAUUUCAAAAAUAAAGAACCAAGUCUGAACAAUCAGAGAGCAUAACAAUAUAUGCUACAUUCAAUAGAAUUGUUAUCAAUACAAAACAACAUAAGUGUCAUAUUUUUGCCUGCUGAAAAUAAGAAUCUUAUGAUUUCCACGCAGAGGACAGAAACGAGAAUGUGAAGGGCCCAUGGAAGAGGUCAGCUAUUGGUACAACACCCAGCUCUGGGGCUCACAUUUGUUGGGGUGAGCUUGGGGUUGGGAUACGAAUCCAGAUGGAAACUCAGUUUUAUUUCCUGGGAAGAUCACAGGGUUGAAGAUACCACUGCCUGGCUGUCAAUGUUGUCCCCUGCUGCCAGUGCACGUUUUGUGGGUAAGUGAUGCAUCAAGCAGGGCUCUAUGCAUUUAGUGACUCAACAGUUAGUGAAGUUCAUGUCCAAAUGCACCUUAAGUCAUAUCACACAUUCCUAUUCAACCUAGUAGGCAUAGACGAGCUUCCAAAUGUUGAUUCUGCCCCGUGAUACACCAGUGAUGAUUUGAGAAUGAUCAAUUAGGAGAGACCAAGUAGUCAAGUUGAAGAGGAUGUUGAUCAGAAGGUAGAGCUGAGGCUGCGAAGAUCAGCAGGAGAUGCAGUGGUUUAGGUCCAAGGUCCAUGUCUCAGACACACACAGAGACAAUCAGUGCAGCAUAAUAGGGAGAAACUCCAUGAGAAUGUGGGAGGUUUCAGUCUGCCAUUCCGGCUCAGCUGCCCAGUCACAUUUCCCAUCCCAGACCUCAGCAAAUGUCCCCAGGAGAAAUCCUUUCUGGGGUUAAGAAUUCAGCUCCUGUCCUAUCUAUUAAGGCAGCUCUCUUCAGCUGCCAAAGCUCAGAUGGAUUCUCUUCCCCAGGAGAGUCCACCUGCAUGGGCAAAGGCAGAAUAUCUGCCCACACUCAAGUCUUGCAAAUUUCACUGAGAUACCAAUUGAGGGGAGAAAAUCAGAUCACCUACAAAGGCCUAUA